GACGAACGCUGGCGGCGUGCUUAACAUAUGCAAGUCGAACGGAAAGGCCCUGCUUUUGUGGGGUGCUCGAGUGGCGAACGGGUGAGUAACACGUGAGUAACCUGCCCUUGACUUUGGGAUAACUUCAGGAAACUGGGGCUAAUACCGGAUAGGAGCUCCUGCUGCAUGGUGGGGGUUGGAAAGUUUCGGCGGUUGGGGAUGGACUCGCGGCUUAUCAGCUUGUUGGUGGGGUAGUGGCUUACCAAGGCUUUGACGGGUAGCCGGCCUGAGAGGGUGACCGGCCACAUUGGGACUGAGAUACGGCCCAGACUCCUACGGGAGGCAGCAGUGGUGAAUAUUGCACAAUGGGCGGAAGCCUGAUGCAGCAACGCCGCGUGCGGGAUGACGGCCUUCGGGUUGUAAACCGCUUUCGCCUGUGACGAAGCGUGAGUGACGGUAAUGGGUAAAGAAGCACCGGCUAACUACGU
rnacentral:rRNA from 1 species